rnacentral:rRNA from 1 species
GCCAGACUCCUACGGGAGGCAGCAGUAGGGAAUCUUUCACAAUGGGCGAAAGCCUGAUGCAGCGACGCCGCGUGGGUGAAGGAGCGUUUCGGCGCGUAAAGCCCUAUCUGCAGGGAAGAAGAUGACGGUACCUGACCAAGAAGCCCCGGCUAACUACGUGCCAGCAGCCGCGGUAAUACGUAGGGGGCAAGCGUUAUCCGGAUUUACUGGGUGUAAAGGGAGCGUAGACGGCAUGGCAAGUCAGAUGUGAAAGCCCGGGGCUCAACCCCGGGACUGCAUUUGAAACUGUCAGGCUGGAGUGCAGGAGAGGUAAGUGGAAUUCCUAGUGUAGCGGUGAAAUGCGUAGAUAUUAGGAGGAACACCAGUGGCGAAGGCGGCUUACUGGACUGUAACUGACGUUGAGGCUCGAAAGCGUGGGGAGCAAACAGGAUUAGAUACCCUUGUA